GACAGAGGGUGCAGACGUUGUUCGGAAUUACUGGGCGUAAAGAGCUCGUAGGCGGUCUGUCGCGUCGGCUGUGAAAUCCCGAGGCUCAACCUCGGGUCUGCAGUCGAUACGGGCAUCACUGGAGUUCGGCAGGGGAGACUGGAAUUCCUGGUGUAGCGGUGAAAUGCGCAGAUAUCAGGAGGAACACCGGUGGCGAAGGCGGGUCUCUGGGCCGAUACUGACGCUGAGGAGCGAAAGCGUGGGGAGCGAACAGG
rnacentral:rRNA from 1 species